rnacentral:rRNA from 1 species
CCUACGGGUGGCUGCAGUGGGGAAUCUUGCGCAAUGGACGAAAGUCUGACGCAGCGACGCCGCGUGGGUGACGAAGGCCUUCGGGUUGUAAAGCCCUGUGGGGCGAGACGAACAGCUUCUGGUCGAACAGGCCAGGAGUCUGACGGUAUCGCCUUAGCAAGCACCGGCUAACUCUGUGCCAGCAGCCGCGGUAAUACAGAGGGUGCAAACGUUGCUCGGAAUUACUGGGCGUAAAGCGCGUGUAGGCGGUUUUAUAAGUCCGACGUGAAAGCCCAGGGCUCAACCCUGGAAGUGCGUUGGAUACUGUGAAGCUGGAGUCCUGAAGAGGAGAGCGGAAUUCCCGGUGUAGAGGUGAAAUUCGUAGAUAUCGGGAGGAACACCUGUGGCGAAGGCGGCUCUCUGGGCAGGUACUGACGCUGAGACGCGAAAGCGUGGGGAGCAAACAGGAUUAGAUACCCGUGUAGUC